ensembl:lncRNA
AGCUGAAUCUAUGAUCUAUGGAUCCAUGAUCAUCUUGUUUUUUUUUUUUUGUUUUUUUUUUUUUUGCACAUGUAUUAGUUCUUUGGUUGUGGCUUUUGGUUUAUUGUCACUGCAGUGUAGGAAGCUGAAUCCAUGAUCUAUGAAUUCAUGAUCAUUGUGCUAUUUUUCUAGCAAAGGCCUUUAUUAGUUGUGGUCUUUUGAUUAUUGUCAUUGUAAUGUAGGAUGCUGAGUCUACAAUCUAUGGAUACAUAAUCAUCUUGGGUUUUUUUAGCAGAGAUCUUAGUUUAUUAGUUCUGGUCUUUGGUUUAUUGUCAUUGCAAUGUAGAUAGCUGAAUCCAUGAUCAUCUUGUUAUUUUUUUUAGCACAGAUCUUAGUUUAUUUGUUGCAUUCUUUGGUUUAUUAUUGUUGCUAUGUAGGUAGCUGGAGUUAUGAUCUAUGAAUUUAUGAUCAUCUUGUUAUGUUUUUAGCACUGAUCUUAGUUUAUUGGUUGUGGUCUUUGGUUUAUUAUCAUUGUAAUGUAGGAGUUGAAUCUAUGAUCUGUGGAUCCAUGAUCAUCUUGGGUUUUUUUUAGCAGAGAUCUUAGUUAGCUGUGGUUUUUGAUUUACUGUCAUUGCAAUGUAGGUAGCUGAAUCCAUGAUCUAUGCAUCCACGAUCAUCUUGUUCUGUGUGGUUUUUUUUGUGCACAGAUGCUAGUUUAUUGUAUGUGGUCUUCAGUUCAUUUUCUUUGCCAGGGGGGAAGCUGAGUAUAUGAUCUAUGAAUCCAUGGGUCUGAGAGCAUGUGUGUGCCUGGAUUGAGUGGUCACAGGAUCACUGAGCCCCAAUCAGUCAAAAAUACUUUUUACUUGGCUUCAAAAUGUGUAGAAUUGAAACAAAA